rnacentral:lncRNA from 1 species
UCAUGGCCAUCUUCCUCUUCAGAAUCUGCAUAAAAUAGAAUUGAUAUAAACAUGAUACAGCGAUAGAUCGCUGGAAUCUAUGCACAGCGAUAGAUCUCUCACGAUUACUCUGAUACCAUGUGAGAAAACACGGGAGAAAAAUAUAUAAUUGAUAUAAACAUGAUACAUGAGCCCUAUAUAUAUAUACACAUAACAUAUCCUACUCCUAAUACACAUUGGAUUAGGGUUCUACUAUUUUACAUAUUCUAACAAAGGUAAUGUUUAGUGGCAUGUGCCCAAAACUAUGAAAGAACUUAGGAGAUUUCUGUGCUUAACAAGAUACUAUAGGAGAUUUGUGAAGGGGUAUGGUACGACAGCUAGACCCCUAACUGAUCUCCUAAUGAAUGACCAAUAUGAGUGGUCUGAGGCAGCAACUAAAGCAUUUGAGGCUCUGAAGGUGGCUAUGAGUACAACACAAGUACUGGCAAUUCUAAAUUUCUCCCAAGAAUUCAUUAUUGAAACUGAUGCAUGUGAAUAUGGAAUAGAAGUUGUAUUGAUGCAAGGAGAUCAUCCUCUACCUUAUAGGCAUUGCAUGAUAAGCACCAAAACCUCUCACCAUAUGAAAAUGAAAUGAUGGCUAUUGUAACUGCAGUAGAUAAAUAGAGACCAUAUCUCAUGAGUAGGAACUUCCUUAUUACGACAGACCACCAGAGCCUCAAGUACCUUUUAGAGCAGAGGGUAUCUACUCCCAGGCAGAAGAAAUGAGUUUCUAAACAUAUGGAAUAUGACUACAGCAUCAUGUACAAGAAGGGAAAAGAGAAUGUAACAGCAGAUGCUCUAUCAAGGUUUCCUAUGAAUAGCAUUUAACUAUUAACAAUUUCUACUAUGUCUUCAGGCUUUCUUCCAAUGGUGUUGUCAUCUUAUGCCGGAGAUCAACACUUACAACAGCUAGCAACCCAAAUCAGCCAGAGUGCAUUAGCUAAUCCUAUCUAUUGGUUAAAAAAUGGCAUCAUAUACAGGAAGGGAAAGAUAGUGGUUGGACCUUACAAGCUUCUCAGGGAUGACAUUUUGUUUUUUUUCAUGAUAGUGCUGUUAGAGGUUGCUCAGGAUGGAUGCUACUUUUCAUAGAGUCGGACAAGUCUAUUACUGGAAGAAGAUGAAGACAGGAGUUUAUGAACACAUCAAGAGUUGUGGCACUUGCCAAAGGUGUAAGGGCGAGAAUGUAAAAACUCAAGGCCUGUUGCAACCCCUACCUAUUCCAGAAAAGGUAUGGCAAGGCAUCCAUUUAGACUUUAUUGAGGGACUACCUAAGUCUCAUAAUAAGUCUGUAAAUGGUUGUUGAUAGGCUCAAGAAAUAUACUCACUUUAUCAGUUUAGUUCAUCCAUAUACUGCAUCAACAGUUACCCAGGCUUUUUAGACAAUGUGUACAAGUUACAUGGGUUGCCCAAAACGAUAGUGAGUGACAGAGAUACUAUUUUUCUGAGUAAGUUCUGGCAUGCCCUUUUUUAGGUUUAGGGGUUUCAGUUACACCACUCUAUAGUAUAUCAUCCCCACAUCAGAUGGGCAAACAGAAGAGGUCAAUAAGUGUGGAGAGUUAUUUGAGGUGCAUGUGUAGUGAUAGACCCAAGGAUUGGUUGUAGUAUUUUUCCUUAGCCGAAUGGUGGUAUAGUACCAUCUACCAUUAUGCUAUCAAAAUGACAACUUUUGAAGUUUUAUAUGGCCAAAAACCACUUCUCCACCUGCCUUAUAUUCCUCGCAGUUCAAUGGUCGACUAAGUUGAAAGGAAUUUGCAGGCGAGAAGAAACUACUAUUAGAUUACUCACAGCAUCACCUCUUGUUAGCUCAAUCUAGGAUGAAGGCUCAAGUUGACAAACAUAGAACUCCUAGGAGCUUUAACGAAUGUGACAUGGCUUUUGUAAAGUGCAAUCAUACAUGCAAGUGUCCUUGAAGAAUCACUCUUACCACAAGCUGAGUCCAAAAUACUUUGGGCCCUUCAAGAUCAUCAAACAAGUAGGCAUUGUAGUCUAUCAGUUGGACCUUCCUCCGCAGGUAAAGAUUCACUAUACAUUUCAUAUCUCUCAAUUGAAGUUACAGAUUGGUAAUGCCCCAGCUAUGCCCAGCCUGCCGAUUACCAUAUAUCCUCGUGGGUACAUUAGAUUAGAGCCUGAAGGGGUUUUGGAUAGAAGAAUACUCUCCAAGAAUAACACACAGCUUUUGGUGCAGUGAUUCAACUGUCAUACUGGAGAUAACACAUGGGUAGACUUGCAUACCUUGCAACAAUAAAUUCCAAACUUUGUCCUUGAGGACAAGGACUCUUGAGAGGGGGAAGUUGUUAUGUGAUAAUAAUGUACAUAGGGUAGUAAAGAAAAUUCAUAGAAAGUCAGGGGGUAUCUUAGCAAAUAUCACUAGUUGGCAGUUAGAGGUUGUUAGAAAGCUAUUAUAGUGGUUACAAUAGUUAGGUGUUAGACAGGUAUUAGAAACUACUUACAACAAUAAAAAAACCCAGUAUAAUCCCACUUAGUGGGGUCUGGGGAGGGUAGUGUGUACGCAGAC